GUGUACGUUCAACUGAUUUGAAGAGCUUGCUCAAAUAUGACGAUGGACAUUGCGUCGAGUGGCGAACGGGUGGUAACACGUGGGAAACCUACCUCUUAGCAGGGGAUAACAUUUGGAAACAGAUGCUAAUACCGUAUAACAAUAGCAACCGCAUGGUUGCUACUUAAAAGAUGGUUCUGCUAUCACUAAGAGAUGGUCCCGCGGGGCAUUAGUUAGUUGGUGAGGUAAUGGCUCACCAAGACGAUGAUGCAUAGCCGAGUUGAGAGACUGAUCGGCCACAAUGGGACUGAUACACGGCCCAUACUCCUACGGGAGGCAGCAAUAGGGAAUCUUCCACAAUGGGCGAAAGCCUGAUGGAGCAACGCCGCGUGUGUGAUGAAGGGUUUCGGCUCGAAAAACACUGUUGUAAGAGAAAAAGGACAUUGAGAGAAACUGUUCAAUGUGUGACGGUCUCUUACCUAAAAGGAACGGCUAAAUACGUGCCAGCAGCCGCGGGAAUACGUAUGUUCCAAGGGUUAUCCGGAUUUAUUGGGCGUAAAGCGAGGGCAGACGGUUAUUUAAGUCUGAAGUGAAAGCCCUCAGCUCAACUGAUGAAUUGCUUUGGAAACUGGAUGACUUGAGUGCAGUAAAGGAAAGUGGAACUCCAUGUGUAGCGGUGAAAUGCCAAGAUAUGUGGAAGAACACCAGUGGCAAAGGCGGCUUUCUGAACUGUAACUGACGUUGAAGCUCAAAAGUGUGGGUAGCAAAACAGGAUUAGAUCCCCUGGGGAGUCCCACGCCCGUAAAACGAUGAGUUGUCCGGGCUCUUUGAAAGGUUUUUCCCGCCCCUUAAAGUGGCCGCCCCUAAACUCAUUUAAAGGCGCCUCCGCCCUGGGUUAAUAACUAACCGCAAAGGUUUGAAACCUCAAAGGAAUUUGACCGGGAACCCGGAACAAGCGGUUGCAAAACUUGAGGGGUUAAUUUUCCAAACCACGCCUAAGAAACUCUUUAUCUGGGACUUUGAAAAUCGCUCUGUGAACAUACCUCCCAUG
rnacentral:rRNA from 1 species